UUUCCCUCAGGAUAGCUGGCACUCGCUUGAGCGAGUCUCAUCUGGUAAAGCGAAUGAUUAGAGGCCUUGGGGCCGAAACGACCUCAACCUAUUCUCAAACUUUAAAUGGGUGAGAUCUCUGGCUUGCUUGAACGUUGAAGCCACGAGAUGCAAUUUAUUGCAAUGGAUCAGAGUGCCAAGUGGGCCAAUUUUGGUAAGCAGAACUGGCGCUGUGGGA
rnacentral:rRNA from 1 species